rnacentral:SRP_RNA from 1 species
AGUUGGGUAAGUCAUACACGACCAGCUCCCUCCGAAUUCCCCCAGGGCUUGACCGCAGCAAGGGUAGGAGGUCGUAGCGGUGCGAUGUAUCAAGCUUACCCU